rnacentral:rRNA from 1 species
CCUACGGGAGGCAGCAGUAGGGAAUAUUGGGCAAUGGACGCAAGUCUGACCCAGCCAUGCCGCGUGCAGGAUGAAGGCGUUAUGCGUUGUAAACUGCUUUUAUACAGGAAGAAACGACUCUUGCGAGAGGCAUUGACGGUACUGUAUGAAUAAGCACCGGCUAACUCCGUGCCAGCAGCCGCGGUAAUA